UACGAAGGGGGCGAGCGUUGUUCGGAAUUACUGGGCGUAAAGCGUGUGUAGGCGGCCACGUAAGUCGGAUGUGAAAGCCCCAGGCUCAACCUGGGAAGUGCACUCGAUACUGCGUGGCUUGAGUAUCGGAGAGGUUGGUGGAAUUCUCGGUGUAGAGGUGAAAUUCGUAGAUAUCGAGAGGAACACCGGUGGCGAAGGCGGCCAACUGGACGAAUACUGACGCUGAGACACGAAAGCGUGGGGAGCAAACAGG
rnacentral:rRNA from 1 species